GGAUUCCGAUUUCAUUGGAAGAGAAUGCUAGUGAUGCAACACAAAUGACAAGAACCAAACACGUACACCACACGCAACCAAACAAGACCUUCCUUGCAUCAAAAAUCUUUGUUCUCUUUUAAUAUUAGCAUCCCCCAAAACAUAAGGAAUCAAAACCUUAGAAAUUCUAAGGUAGAAAAAACUUGUUUAUUCUUAAUUCCCAAUCUCAACCCAAGUCCAUGUUGUGAUCGAGUUCUCUCCGCAGGCCAAUCCACCCUUCUUCAUCACCAACAGAUUCAAGGUGAUUUGAUUGGUCGGGGCCUUGGAGGAGGAGGGAAAAUCAUAUAUGGGGAAGCGUCGAAGAUGUUGUUGUGGAGAUGAUUAUGUUGGUGAUCAAUCCCUUAGCAAUGAAGAAAGAAGUAGGCGUAACCGGAAAAGAGCAUCAUAUGUCUGUCAUUGUUCUGCAGUUUCUUCAAUAUUUAGAAGGGUAGGAAGAUGUAUGUUUGUGACUUGUUUUCCUGUCAUGCAAUGUUUUGGAUUAGAUGAAUGUAGACACCGGCACCACCAUCAGCAUAAACAUUUUGCAGAGUUUACAUGAUAGCAAUCUCAGUUGAAUUCUUGUAGUUUUAGAUUGUAUAGGGAUGGUGUAAAAAUUUUGAAGCCUUUGAUUUGGUGUUAUUAAUUUGGAUGAUAAAAGGGGUCAUUACCCAUGAUUGGUAGGAGCUUUAGUGCAGUAGUUAGCAGAUCAGAUGAUCAUGAUGUUGUACAGUUCUUUUGUAAAUAUGCAUCUAUGAUUUUAUGAUAUUUCAUCUUCGAAUUCCCUUA